rnacentral:rRNA from 1 species
AGACGUCUACAUUAGAUACCCCCCGUAGUCCCAGCCGUAAACUAUGCGCGUUAGGUGUAUCGGUGACCACGAGUUACCGAGGUGCCGAAGGGAAACCGUGAAACGUGCCGCCUGGGAAGUACGGUCGCAAGGCUGAAACUUAAAGGAAUUGGCGGGGAGCACCACAACAGGUGGAGCCUGCGGUUUAAUUGGACUCAACGCCGGGAAGCUCACCGGAUAGGACAGCAGAAUGAUUGCCGGGCUGAAGACCCUGCAUGACUAGCUG